rnacentral:rRNA from 1 species
ACUCAAAGGAAUAGACGGGGGCCCGCACAAGCGGUGGAGCAUGUGGCUUAAUUCGAUGCAACGCGAAGAACCUUACCCAGGCUCGAAUGUCGGGUGACAGCCCCUGAAAGGGGGUCUCCUUCGGGCACUCGACAAGGUGCUGCAUGGCUGUCGUCAGCUCGUGUCGUGAGAUGUUGGGUUAAGUCCCGCAACGAGCGCAACCCUUACUGUCAGUUACCAGCGGGUAAAGCCGGGGACUCUGAUAGGACUGCCUGCGCAAGCAGUGAGGAAGGUGGGGACGACGUCAAGUCAUCAUGGCCCUUACGCCUGGGGCUGCACACGUGCUACAAUGGCCGGUACAAUGGGCAGCCACUCCGCGAGGAGGCGCCAAUCCGCGAAAGCCGGUCUCAGUUCGGAUCGGAGUCUGCAACUCGACUCCGUGAAGUCGGAAUCGCUAGUAAUCGCGUAUCAGCUACGACGCGGUGAAUACGUUCCCGGGCCUUGUACACACCGCCCGU